rnacentral:lncRNA from 1 species
GACCUAGUGGGGGAACAAGGGCACUUGUGAACACGUAAGUUCAUAAAUGUGUUUCUAAGUGUGUGUGUGUUUUGUAUAGUUUUAUGACUUGAUUAUUUUUUAUGUAGAGGGAUUACAUCACAUCUUAUGGUGAAUGGAGGAAAAAAAAAUUCAACUUACAUGGCAUUACCCUAAGGUAAAUAAAUAAUUACUUAACAACUUCCUAUUAAUACUAUUAGUAUUGGUGAAUGUGUAUGAUAUUAUGGCAUUUUUGUAUGUAGGGCCCGAAACAAGUUGGGGAUUUUGAAUGUGGAUAUUUUGUAAUGCGGUUCAUGCGACAUUUCAUGAAAGAUCCUUCUAAAUCCCUAGAGGAAAAGGUGAUUAAUAUUUUCUCAUUUUUUUGUUCCAUAUAUUUCUAGGUUUAAAUUAAACUAUUGUUCAUUUUCUUUCCCAUUGACUUGUUUAGAUGACGGAGCUAAAAAUGAAGGCAACAUACACCAAAGCUGAACUGAAUGAAGUUCGUCUUGAGUUUAUCGGUUACGUUGAACGAUUUCUAUAAUGUUAAAGGUAUGUUGAUUAAUAUUACGUAUACAU